rnacentral:misc_RNA from 1 species
CGGGAGUCUAUGUUGAAGCAGGUUAAAUCUGCAUAUGAUUGGGCUGAAAAAGAAUAUGAAAUGGCAGGACGUAGGUAUGGAGAGGCUCUUAGGCUCAAGCCUGAUUUCUAUGAAGGCCUUCUUGCACUUGGUCAGCAGCAGUUUGAACACGCAAAACUCUCUUGGUACUAUUUGAUUGGAAGCAAAGUUGAGUUAGAGACGGGGACUUGUGCUGAGAUCUUGGAGCUGUAUAACAAGG